rnacentral:rRNA from 1 species
UACGGAGGGUGCGAGCGUUAUCCGGAAUUACUGGGUUUAAAGGGUGCGUAGGCGGCUUUGUAAGUCAGGAGUGAAAGUUUGCGGCUCAACCGUAAAAUUGCUUUUGAUACUGCGAGGCUAGAAUUAGGAUGAGGUCAGCGGAAUGUGGCAUGUAGCGGUGAAAUGCAUAGAUAUGCCAUAGAACACCAAUUGCGAAGGCAGCUGGCUAGACCUGGAUUGACGCUGAGGCACGAAAGCGUGGGGAGCGAACAGG